AUUGGUCUACCAGAGAGGGCACAUGUGCCUCAAUUGGCCUAUAGCAUAGUGGCUCAUUAUCCUUCAACCGCUGGUGGCGGGCGGUACUCGCUGCUCUGUGAAGCCAGCCUCACGCAAUGUCCGCCACUUUAGGUGUUGGGAUGCAAAGGCUUUCGCCAAGGCAUCCGAAACCCACUACACAACUUGGAAUGGGUGGUCCACAGUUUGUAGCACUAGACCCAGGCACAUGCACCACAAUUGACAUUCACACUACCUUAUUGCCCCCGCUCGGGUUACAAGCAAUCGCUACUUGCUCAGCGAGUGAGGGGGGUUCAAGACUACCUAUUUAAGGUGGUGUUGUACUGUAUGAGCCGGCGGUGUGGUAUUUACCAACUACAAAUAGUGUCAUGCAUGUGACUUGCUAGUUGACAAUGUCUGUUGUGGAGCUAGAUGUGGGCUAUGGAUGAAGCACAUUAGGAUAUAGUAGGCCUAUUUUGUUUUUUGUUAUUUUUGGGCCACUAUGGACUUUAUGUUGAUGUUGUGAAUUUUUUUCUUGUGUUUCCUCUUCCUACGAUGUGGAAAGUGGGUGCGUCAGAGAAGAAAGAAAGAGUGGCUAGCAUUGAUUUUACGUCAUACCAUUGAGAACACUAAUCAGAAGCAGAAGCAACAAUAUUUCAUACAUAUACAACACUUGUAAUCCAUAUAAACAACUUUCCUUUCAAAUAUAAUAUAAACCACAUGAUUUAUAUCCUGGGUCGGCUAUCUCCACAAAGGGCAAGAAAACGCUCCAAGUUUGUAGUAUAGAACUAAAAGUGUCGACUCUCACGAUUUCUUCCCGACAUAUGCAAACUAGACAGUAAUCACAUAAAAUAAAGAAAUAUGUGUUAACACAAACUUAUAACAUGUAUUUCAACAUAUAGAUUUUUGAUUAUUAUGGUAGAUUAUAUAAUAUAGGGGUUCCCGAAGAAAUACAUAAAAAACAAGAGCAUUAAAAUUUCCUUUUCAGAUCUGGCUAACUGGUAAAGGGAGUUGGAGUAUCUGUGUUUCCAAAUUUGGGACGUCGCUCUAUAGAAGGAAUAUAAAUACAUUGGAAAAAAAUUCUACAAGGAAAGGUUUAAUACAAGUAGGGCUAAGAAAAACUCAAUGAGGCUUUGGUCGCAUGGUCACAAAACUUGAGACAAGAAACACGAAGACACCAAGGUAAUUAGUAUGAGAGUUUUCCAAAUUUGGUGUCUUGAUGUAGAAAAAAUAAAUAUAUGACAAACUUGUUUUUUCGCAAGGCAUGGAUAAAUAAGUGGGGGUGAGCAAUAAAUUUCAUCCUAGAUUUAGAAGGAAUAAAUAUAUCACUAAAUACGUUUUUUCAUAAUGCCAAGUUAAUCAGGUGGGAGCGAGAAACAAUUCUAGCGAGGCUAGGUUGUACUAGCCCAAAACUACAUACAACAGAGGAAAAAUGAAGAAAAUGAUGGUCUACCAAAUAUGGCGCAUGAGCCUUAAGGUGCACCUAGAGGGAAGUAGAAGAAAUAAAUAUAUAAUAGCAUAUGUUUUUCUCAAUGCAAGGUAAAGUGUAGAUGUGCUCUAACUGGGCUUAGAUUGCAGCGACACAUUAUGCAUCUACAAGGCUUGGUUGCACAUGGAAAAAGAUAGAGAGAGAAAUGUAGACACAGGACGGGGAGAAAAACAUUCAAUGAGACAUGAUUGCACGGACAUAGAACUAGAUAUAAGACAAGAGUUAAAGAAAAAUAAAGGAACUAAAUUUUCUUCUGCACACUCAGCAUGAAUGGAGUUGUAGUAUCUGAGAUCAAAAUUUAAUUUAUUCCAAGAUGCAGAACAAAAACGUGAUACUCGUAAUGGUUACAUAGGAACAAAAGUAGAUAAGAAAAAUAGCAAAAAGAUAGUGGUCUACCAGAGAGGGCACAUGUGCCUCAAUUGGCCUAUAGCAUAGCGACUCAUUAUCCUUCCACCGCUGGUGGCGGGCGGUACUCGCUGCUCUGUGAAGCCAGCCUCACGCAAUGUCCGCCACUUUAGGUGUUGGGAUGCAAAGGCUUUCGCCAAGGCAUCCGAAACCCACUACACAACUUGGAAUGGGUGGUCCACAGUUUGUAGCACUAGACCCAGGCACAUGCACCACAAUUGACAUCCACACUACCUUAUUGCCCCCGCUCGGGUUACAAGCAAUCGCUACUUGCUCAGCGAGUGAGGGGGUUCAAGACUACCUAUUUAAGGUGGUGUUGUACUCUAUAAGCCGGCGGUGUGGUAUUUACCAACUACAAAUAGUGUCAUGCAUGUGACUUGCUAGUUGACAAUGUCUGUUGUCGAGCUAGAUGUGGGCUACGGAUGAAGCACAUUAUGAUAUAGUAGGCCUAUUUUGUUUUUUGUUGUUUUUGGGCCACUAUGGACUUUAUGUUGAUGUUGUGAAAUUUUUUCUUGUGUUUCCUCUUCCUACGAUGUGGAAAGUGGGUGUGUUAGAGAAGAAAGAAAGAGUGGCUAGCAUUGAUUUUACGUCAUACCAUUGAGAACACUAAUCAGAAGCAGAAGCAACAAUAUUUCAUACAUAUACAACACUUGUAAUCCAUAUAAACAACUUUCCUUUAAAAUAUAAUAUAAACCACAUGAUUUAUAUCCUGGGUCGGCUAUCUCCACAAAGGGCAAGAAAACGCUCCAAGUUUGUAGUAUAGAACUAAAAGUGUCGAUUCUCACGAUUUCUUCCCGACAUAUACAAACUAGACAGUAAUCACAUAAAAUAAAGAAAUAUGUGUUAACACAAACUUAUAGCAUGUAUUUCAACAUAUAGAUUGUUGAUUAUUAUGGUAGAUUAUAUAAAAUAGAGGUUCCCGAAGAAAUACAUAAAAACAAGAGCAUUAAAAUUUCCAUUUCAGAUCUGGCUAUCUGGUAAAAGGAGUUGGAGUAACUGAGUUUCCAAAUUUGUGACGUAGCUCUAUAGAAGGAAUAUAAAUACGUUGGAAAAAUUCUACAAGGAAAGGUUUAAUACAAGUAGGGCUAAGAAAAACUCAAUGAGGCUUUGGUCGCAUGGUCACAAAACUUGAGACAAGAAACACGAAGACACCAAGGUAAUUAGUAUGAGAGUUUUCCAAAUUUGGUGUCUUGAUGUAGAAAAAAUAAAUAUAUGACAAACUUGUUUUUUCGCAAGGCAUGGAUAAAUAAGUGGGGGCGAGCAAUAAAUUUCAUCCUAGAUUUAGAAGGAAUAAAUAUAUCACUAAAUACGUUUUUUCAUAAUGCCAAGUUCAUCAGGUGGGAGCGAGAAACAAUUCUAGCGAGGUUAGGUUGUACUAGCCCAAAACUACAUACAACAGAGGAAAAAUGAAGAAAAUGAUGGUCUACCAAAUAUGGCGCAUGGGCCUUAAGGUGCACCUAGAGGGAAGUAUAAGAAAUAAAUAUAUAAUAGCCUAUGUUUUUCGCAAUGCAAGGUAAAGUGUAGAUGUGCUCUAACUGGGCUUAGAUUGCAGCGACACAUUAUGCAUCUACAAGGCUUGGUUGCACAUGGAAAAAGAUAGAGAGAGAAAUGUAGACACAGGACGGGGAGAAAAACAUUCAAUGAGACAUGAUUGCACGGACAUAGAACUAGAUAUAAGACAAGAGUUAAAGAAAAAUAAAGGAACUAAAUUUUCUUCUGCACACUCAGCAUGAAUGGAGUUGUAGUAUCUGAGAUCAAAAUUUAAUUUAUUCCAAGAUGCAGAACAAAAACGUGAUACUCGUAAUGGUUACAUAGGAACAAAAGUAGAUAAGAAAAAUAGCAAAAAGAUAGUGGUCUACCAGAGAGGGCACAUGUGCCUCAAUUGGCCUAUAGCAUAGCGACUCAUUAUCCUUCCACCGCUGGUGGCAGGCGGUACUCGCUGCUCUGUGAAGCCAGCCUCACGCAAUGUCCGCCACUUUAGGUGUUGGGAUGCAAAGGCUUUCGCCAAGGCAUCCGAAACCCACUACGCAACUUGGAAUGGGUGGUCCACAGUUUGUAGCACUAGACCCAGGCACAUGCACCACAAUUGACAUCCACACUACCUUAUUGCCCCCGCUCGGGUUACAAGCAAUCGCUACUUGCUCAGCGAGUGAGGGGGUUCAAGACUACCUAUUUAAGGUGGUGUUGUACUCUAUAAGCCGGCGGUGUGGUAUUUACCAACUACAAAUAGUGUCAUGCAUGUGACUUGCUAGUUGACAAUGUCUGUUGUCGAGCUAGAUGUGGGCUAUGGAUGAAACACAUUACGAUAUAGUAGGCCUAUUUUGUUUUUUGUUGUUUUUGGGCCACUAUGGACUUUAUGUUGAUGUUGUGAAAUUUUUUCUUGUGUUUCCUCUUCCUAUGAUGUGGAAAGUGGGUGGGUUAGAGAAGAAAGAAAGAGUGGCUAGCAUUGAUUUUACGUCAUACAAUUGAGAACACUAAUCAGAAGCAGAAGCAACAAUAUUUCAUACAUAUACAACACUUGUAAUCCAUAUAAACAACUUUCCUUUAAAAUAUAAUAUAAACCACAUGAUUUAUAUCCUGGGUCGGCUAUCUCCACAAAGGGCAAGAAAACGCUCCAAGUUUGUAGUAUAGAACUAAAAGUGUCGAUUCUCACGAUUUCUUCCCGACAUAUACAAACUAGACAGUAAUCACAUAAAAUAAAGAAAUAUGUGUUAACACGAACUUAUAGCAUGUAUUUCAACAUAUAGAUUGCUGAUUAUUAUGGUUGAUUAUAUAAAAUAGGGGUUCCCGAAGAAAUACAUAAAAACAAGAGCAUUAAAAUUUCCUUUUCAGAUCUGGCUAUCUGGUAAAAGGAGUUGGAGUAACUGAGUUUCCAAAUUUGUGACGUAGCUCUAUAGAAGGAAUAUAAAUACGUUGGAAAAAUUCUACAAGGAAAGGUUUAAUACAAGUAGGGCUAAGAAAAACUCAAUGAGGCUUUGGUCGCAUGGUCACAAAACUUGAGACAAGAAACACGAAGACACCAAGGUAAUUAGUAUGAGAGUUUUCCAAAUUUGGUGUCUUGAUGUAGAAAAAAUAAAUAUAUGACAAACUUGUUUUUUCGCAAGGCAUGGAUAAAUAAGUGGGGGUGAGCAAUAAAUUUCAUCCUAGAUUUAGAAGGAAUAAAUAUAUCACUAAAUACGUUUUUUACAAUGCCAAGUUAAUUAGGUGGGAGCGAGAAACAAUUCUAGCGAGGCUAGGUUGUACUAGCCCAAAACUACAUACAACAGAGGAAGAAUGAAGAAAAUGAUGGUCUACCAAAUAUGGCACAUGAGCCUUAAGGUGCACCUAGAGGGAAGUAGAAGAAUAAAUAUAUAAUAGCAUAUGUUUUUCGCAAUGCAAGGUAAAGUGUAGAUGUGCUCUAACUGGGCUUAGAUUGCAGCGACACAUUAUGCAUCUACAAGGCUUCGUUGCACAUGGAAAAAGAUAGAGAGAGAAAUGUAGACGCAGGACCGGGAGAAAAACAUUCAAUGAGACGUGAUUGCACGGACAUAGAACUAAGUAUAAGACAAGAGUUAAAGAAAAAAGGAACUAAAUUUUCUUGUGCACACUAAGCAUGAAUGGAGUUGUAGUAUCUGAGAUCAAAAUUUAAUUUAUUCCAAGAUGCAGAACAAAAACGUGAUACUCGUAAUGGUUACAUAGGAACAAAAGUAGAUAAGAAAAAUAGCAAAAAGAUAUUGGUCUACCAGAGAGGGCACAUGUGCCUCAAUUGGCCUAUAGCAUAGUGGCUCAUUAUCCUUCCACCGCUGGUGGCGGGCGGUACUCGCUGCUCUGUGAAGCCAGCCUCACGCAAUGUCCGCCACUUUAGGUGUUGGGAUGCAAAGGCUUUCGCCAAGGCAUCCGAAACCCACUACACAACUUGGAAUGGGUGGUCCACAGUUUGUAGCAAUAGACCCAGGCACAUGCACCACAAUUGACAUUCACACUACCUUAUUGCCCCCGCUCGGGUUACAAGCAAUCGCUACUUGCUCAGCGAGUGAGGGGGUUCAAGACUACCUAUUUAAGGUGGUGUUGUACUGUAUGAGCCGGCGGUGUGGUAUUUACCAACUACAAAUAGUGUCAUGCAUGUGACUUGCUAGUUGACAAUGUCUAUUGUCGAGCUAGAUGUGGGCUAUAGAUGAAGCACAUUAGGAUAUAGUAGGCCUAUUUUGUUUUUUGUUGUUUUUGGGCCACUAUGGACUUUAUGUUGAUGUUGUGAAAUUUUUUCUUGUGUUUCCUCUUCCUACGAUGUGGAAAGUGGGUGCUUCAGAGAAGAAAGAAAGAGUGGCUAGCAUUGAUUUUACGUCAUACCAUUGAGAACACUAAUCAGAAGCAGAAGCAACAAUAUUUCAUACAUAUACAACACUUGUAAUCCAUAUAAACAACUUUCCUUUCAAAUAUAAUAUAAACCACAUGAUUUAUAUCCUGGGUCGGCUAUCUCCACAAAGGGCAAGAAAACGCUCCAAGUUUGUAGUAUAGCACUAAAAGUGUCGACUCUCACGAUUUCUUCCCGACAUAUGCAAACUAGACAGUAAUCACAUAAAAUAAAGAAAUAUGUGUUAACACAAACUUAUAGCAUGUAUUUCAACAUAUAGAUUUUUGAUUAUUAUGGUAGAUUAUAUAAUAUAGGGGUUCCCGAAAAAAUACAUAAAAAACAAGAGCAUUAAAAUUUCCUUUUCAGAUCUGGCUAACUGGUAAAGGGAGUUGGAGUAUCUGAGUUUCCAAAUUUGGGACGUCGCUCUAUAGAAGGAAUAUAAAUACAUUGGAAAAAAUUCUACAAGGAAAGGUUUAAUACAAGUAGCGCUAAGAAAAACUCAAUGAGGCUUUGGUCGCUUGGUCACAAAACUUGAGACAAGAAACACGAAGACACCAAGGUAAUUAGUAUGAGAGUUUUCCAAAUUUGGUGUCUUGAUGUAGAAAAAAUAAAUAUAUGACAAACUUGUUUUUUCGCAAGGCAUGGAUAAAUAAGUGGGGGUGAGCAAUAAAUUUCAUCCUAGAUUUAGAAGGAAUAAAUAUAUCACUAAAUACGUUUUUUCACAAUGCCAAGUUAAUCAGGUGGGAGCGAGAAACAAUUCUAGCGAGGCUAGGUUGUACUAGCCCAAAACUACAUACAACAGAGGAAAAAUAAAGAAAAUGAUGGUCUACCAAAUAGGGCGCAUGAGCCUUAAGGUGCACCUAGAGGGAAGUAGAAGAAAUAAAUAUAUAAUAGCAUAUGUUUUUCGCAAUGCAAGGUAAAGUGUAGAUGUGCUCUAACUGGGCUUAGAUUGCAGCGACACAUUAUGCAUCUACAAGGCUUGGUUGCACAUGGAAAAAGAUAGAGAGAGAAAUGUAGACGCAGGACCGGGAGAAAAACAUUCAAUGAGACGUGAUUGCACGGACAUAGAACUAGAUAUAAGACAAGAGUUAAAGAAAAAUAAAGGAACUAAAUUUUCUUCUGCACACUAAGCAUGAAUGGAGUUGUAGUAUCUGAGAUCAAAAUUUAAUUUAUUCCAAGAUGCAGAACAAAAACGUGAUACUCGUAAUGGUUACAUAGGAACAAAAGUAGAUAAGAAAAAUAGCAAAAAGAUAGUGGUCUACCAGAGAGGGCACAUGUGCCUCAAUUGGCCUAUAGCAUAGCGACUCAUUAUCCUUCCACCGCUGGUGGCGGGCGGUACUCGCUGCUCUGUGAAGCCAGCCUCACGCAAUGUCCGCCACUUUAGGUGUUGGGAUGCAAAGGCUUUCGCCAAGGCAUCCGAAACCCACUACACAACUUGGAAUGGGUGGUCCACAGUUUGUAGCACUAGACCCAGGCACAUGCACCACAAUUGACAUCCACACUACCUUAUUGCCCCCGCUCGGGUUACAAGCAAUCGCUACUUGCUCAGCGAGUGAGGGGGUUCAAGACUACCUAUUUAAGGUGGUGUUGUACUCUAUGAGCCGGCGGUGUGGUAUUUACCAACUACAAAUAGUGUCAUGCAUGUGACUUGCUAGUUGACAAUGUCUGUUGUCAAGCUAGGUGUGGGCUAUGGAUGAAGCACAUUAGGAUAUAGUAGGCCUAUUUUGUUUUUUGUUGUUUUUGGGCCACUAUGGACUGUAUGUUGAUGUUGUGAAAUUUUUUUCUUGUGUUUCCUCUUCCUACGAUGUGGAAAGUGGGUGCGUCAGAGAAGAAAGAAAGAGUGGCUAGCAUUGAUUUUACGUCAUACCAUUGAGAACACUAAUCAGAAGCAGAAGCAACAAUAUUUCAUACAUAUACAACACUUGUAAUCCAUAUAAACAACAUUCCUUUAAAAUAUAAUAUAAACCACAUGAUUUAUAUCCUGGGUCGGCUAUCUCCACAAAGGGCAAGAAAACGCUCCAAGUUUGUAGUAUAGCACUAAAAGUGUCGAUUCUCACGAUUUCUUCCCGACAUAUACAAACUAGACAGUAAUCACAUAAAAUAAAGAAAUAUGUGUUAACACGAACUUAUAACAUGUAUUUCAACAUAUAGAUUGUUGAUUAUUAUGGUAGAUUAUAUAAAAUAGGGGUUCCCGAAGAAAUACAUAAAAACAAGAGCAUUAAAAUUUCCUUUUCAGAUCUGGCUAUCUGGUAAAAGGAGUUGGAGUAACUGAGUUUCCAAAUUUGUGACGUAGCUCUAUAGAAGGAAUAUAAAUACGUUGGAAAAAUUCUAUAAGGAAAGGUUUAAUACAAGUAGGGCUAAGAAAAACUCAAUGAGGCUUUGGUCGCAUGGUCACAAAACUUGAGACAAGAAACACGAAGACACCAAGGUAAUUAGUAUGAGAGUUUUCCAAAUUUGGUGUCUUGAUGUAGAAAAAAUAAAUAUAUGACAAACUUGUUUUUUCGCAAGGCAUGGAUAAAUAAGUGGGGGUGAGCAAUAAAUUUCAUCCUAGAUUUAGAAGGAAUAAAUAUAUCACUAAAUAUGUUUUUUCACAAUGCCAAGUUAAUCAGGUGGGAGCGAGAAACAAUUCUAGCGAGGCUAGGUUGUACUAGCCCAAAACUACAUACAACAGAGGAAAAAUGAAGAAAAUGAUGGUCUACCAAAUAUGGCGCAUGAGCCUUAAGGUGCACCUAGAGGGAAGUAGAAGAAAUAAAUAUAUAAUAGCAUAUGUUUUUCGCAAUGCAAGGUAAAGUGUAGAUGUGCUCUAACUGGGCUUAGAUUGCAGCGACACAUUAUGCAUCUACAAGGCUUGGUUGCACAUGGAAAAAGAUAGAGAGAGAAAUGUAGACGCAGGACCGGGAGAAAAACAUUCAACGAGACGUGAUUGCACGGACAUAGAACUAGAUAUAAGACAAGAGUUAAAGAAAAAUAAAGGAACUAAAUUUUCUUCUGCACACUAAGCAUGAAUGGAGUUGUAGUAUCUGAGAUCAAAAUUUAAUUUAUUCCAAGAUGCAGAACAAAAACGUGAUACUCGUAAUGGUUACAUAGGAACAUAAGUAGAUAAGAAAAAUAGCAAAAAGAUAGUGGUCUACCAGAGAGGGCACAUGUGCCUCAAUUGGCCUAUAGCAUAGCGACUCAUUAUCCUUCCACCGCUGGUGGCGGGCGGUACUCGCUGCUCUGUGAAGCCAGCCUCACGCAAUGUCUGCCACUUUAGGUGUUGGGAUGCAAAGGCUUUCGCCAAGGCAUCCGAAACCCACUACACAACUUGGAAUGGGUGGUCCACAGUUGGUAGCACUAGACCCAGGCACAUGCACCACAAUUGACAUCCACACUACCUUAUUGCCCCCGCUCGGGUUACAAGCAAUCGCUACUUGCUCAGCGAGUGAGGGGGUUCAAGACUACCUAUUUAAGGUGGUGUUGUACUCUAUGAGCCGGUGGUGUGGUAUUUACCAACUACAAAUAGUGUCAUGCAUGUGACUUGCUAGUUGACAAUGUCUGUUGUCAAGCUAGGUGUGGGCUAUGGAUGAAGCACAUUAGGAUAUAGUAGGCCUAUUUUGUUUUUUGUUGUUUUUGGGCCACUAUGGACUUUAUGUUGAUGUUGUGAAUUUUUUUUCUUGUGUUUCCUCUUCCUACAAUGUGGAAAGUGGGUGCGUCAGAGAAGAAAGAAAGAGUGGCUAGCAUUGAUUUUACGUCAUACCAUUGAGAACACUAAUCAGAAGCAGAAGCAACAAUAUUUCAUACAUAUACAACACUUGUAAUCCAUAUAAACAACAUUCCUUUAAAAUAUAAUAUAAACCACAUGAUUUAUAUCCUGGGUCGGCUAUCUCCACAAAGGGCAAGAAAACGCUCCAAGUUUGUAGUAUAGCACUAAAAGUGUCGAUUCUCACGAUUUCUUCCCGACAUAUACAAACUAGACAGUAAUCACAUAAAAUAAAGAAAUAUGUGUUAACACGAACUUAUAGCAUGUAUUUCAACAUAUAGAUUGUUGAUUAUUAUGGUAGAUUAUAUAAAAUAGGGGUUCCCGAAGAAAUACAUAAAAACAAGAGCAUUAAAAUUUCCUUUUCAGAUCUGGCUAUCUGGUAAAAGGAGUUGGAGUAACUGAGUUUCCAAAUUUGUGACGUAGCUCUAUAGAAGGAAUAUAAAUACGUUGGAAAAAUUCUAUAAGGAAAGGUUUAAUACAAGUAGGGCUAAGAAAAACUCAAUGAGGCUUUGGUCGCAUGGUCACAAAACUUGAGACAAGAAACACGAAGACACCAAGGUAAUUAGUAUGAGAGUUUUCCAAAUUUGGUGUCUUGAUGUAGAAAAAAUAAAUAUAUGACAAACUUGUUUUUCGCAAGGCAUGGAUAAAUAAGUGGGGGUGAGCAAUAAAUUUCAUCCUAGAUUUAGAAGGAAUAAAUAUAUCACUUAAUAUGUUUUUUCACAAUGCCAAGUUAAUCAGGUGGGAGCGAGAAACAAUUCUAGCGAGGCUAGGUUGUACUAGCCCAAAACUACAUACAACAGAGGAAAAAUGAAGAAAAUGAUGGUCUACCAAAUAUGGUGCAUGAGCCUUAAGGUGCACCUAGAGGGAAGUAGAAGAAAUAAAUAUAUAAUAGCAUAUGUUUUUCGCAAUGCAAGGUAAAGUGUAGAUGUGCUCUAACUGGGCUUAGAUUGCAGCGACACAUUAUGCAUCUACAAGGCUUGGUUGCACAUGGAAAAAGAUAGAGAGAGAAAUGUAGACGCAAGACCGGGAGAAAAACAUUCAAUGAGACGUGAUUGCACGGACAUAGAACUAGAUAAAAGACAAGAGUUAAAGAAAAAUAAAGGAACUAAAUUUUCUUCUGCACACUAAGCAUGAAUGGAGUUGUAGUAUCUGAGAUCAAAAUUUAAUUUAUUCCAAGAUGCAGAACAAAAACGUGAUACUCGUAAUGGUUACAUAGGAACAUAAGUAGAUAAGAAAAAUAGCAAAAAGAUAGUGGUCUACCAGAGAGGGCACAUGUGCCUCAAUUGGCCUAUAGCAUAGCGACUCAUUAUCCUUCCACCGCUGGUGGCGGGCGGUACUCGCUGCUCUGUGAAGCCAGCCUCACGCAAUGUCCGCCACUUUAGGUGUUGGGAUGCAAAGGCUUUUGCCAAGGCAUCCGAAACCCACUACACAACUUGGAAUGGGUGGUCCACAGUUUGUAGCACUAGACCCAGGCACAUGCACCACAAUUGACAUCCACACUACCUU
rnacentral:lncRNA from 1 species